UCCCCACCACCUCCACGUUCCGAAUGGUCUUCAGCCCUGCUGCUCAUUCCUUUUGUCCGGCUGCUGACUUACGACUCGAUUCAUUAAUACGUUUUGUUGCCUUCGGCAAUUUGUGCGACCAACAUCUCUUAUCGUUUCCCACUGCGUAAACUUCUUCGUUUUGCGUGAACUUCUUCGUUUUGCGAACCUCUUCAAUAAAUCUUCAACGCUUU